UGUGAGGAAAUAAUAGUUUUAUUGCAAUCACAAUGGAUUAAUAGAACUCGUGUAAAUCUAACAUACAUUAGCAAGGUUAUAAUUUCUGUAAUAAAGCUAUAAUUGAGUGUUGAAUAAAAGAAAAGCAUGUGCAAUUAUUGCGAGCUUAAAGCUCCAGCGGCAGAUCAGUCUGUUCAUUUGGUACAAUCCUCUUUUAAUUGUUACCAUUGUGUUUGCUUUAAUAAUUCUGCUAGCUGUAGUUGCCACUGCUUUAUAACAGAAAUAAAGUCAAAGCCAAGAAAGAGUAAAUAGAACAAAAACUGCACAGUUCGUUGGAUAUCAUUACGGAGAGACGGAUAUUAAAGGUUAAACUGAAGGAAAAUGUUAUAUUUUUAAAUCUAAUAUCGCGACUAUCCAAUGAAAUUGUUUUGCAGCGAGAUUAAAUUUCUUUUAAAAUAAUAUUUCUGGAGGACACUCAAACAGUUAACACUUAAUAUUAGAUUCAAAAUAAUGAAAUGUAAAACCAACAACAGUUUACCUGCUUCGUAUUUUCAGUAAAUCUUAAGAUUUGGAAACCGUACGAAUCCAUAUGAGGCUAUGUGAGGCUGUGAGACUUUGUUGGGUUAGAGCGUGUGGCACGUAAUUGUGAGGUGGCGAACUCUCGGGGCUACACAUCGACACUCAUUGAAGGCUUCUUUUCACUGCUCGCAGUCGCUCACUACCUCGUUGCCGACGGAACAGCAUUCUUUUAUGUAAUUCUUUUCGAAAUAAUCUUAUACAGCUUUA